CCUACCGGCUGCAGUGAGGAAUAUUGGUCAAUGGUCGGGAGACUGAACCAGCCAAGCCGCGUGAGGGAGGAAGGUACAGAGUAUCGUAAACCUCUUUUGUCAGGGAACAAAGGCGGGGACGUGUCCCCGGAUGAGUGUACCUGAAGAAAAAGCAUCGGCUAACCCCGUGCCAGCAGCCCCGGUAAUCCGGGGGAUGCGAGCGUUAUCCGGAUUUAUUGGGUUAAAGGGGUGCGCAGGCGGAGUGUUAAGUCAGCGGUAAAAGCCCGGGGCUCAACCCCGCCCCGCCGUUGAAACUGGCAGUCUCGAGUUGGAGAGAGGUAUGCGGAAUGCGCGGUGUAGCGGUGAAAUGCAUAGAUAUCGCGCAGAACUCCGAUUGCGAAGGCAGCAUGCCGGCUCCACACUGACGCUGAGGCACGAAAGCGUGGGUAUCGAACAGGAUUAGAUACCCGUGUAGUC
rnacentral:rRNA from 1 species